rnacentral:rRNA from 1 species
CUGGGCUGGAUGAGUGGCGAACGGGUGAGUAACACGUGAGUAACCUGCCCUCUUCUUUGGGAUAACGGUCGGAAACGGCUGCUAAUACCGGGUAUUCACUGUCCUUCGCAUGGGGGGUGGGUGGAAAGGUUUUUUCUGGUGGGGGAUGGGCUCGCGGCCUAUCAGCUUGUUGGUGGGGUGAUGGUUUACCAAGGCUUUGACGGGUAACCGGCCUGAGAGGGUGACCGGUCACAUUGGGACUGAGAUACGGCCCAG